rnacentral:misc_RNA from 1 species
ACUUUACAAGGUGAAUACCAAAUCACAAAUGGUUAUGGCCCAGAUAAAGCACCUAAAGUUCUACAAGAUCACUGGAACACUUACAUCAAAAGCGAGGAUUUCAACUUCCUGUCAUCAAAUAAUAUAAAUGCUGUGAGAAUUCCAGUUGGAUGGUGGAUAGCACAAGAUCCAACACCACCAAAACCUUUUGUUGGGGGAUCCUUAAAAGCCUUAGAUAAUGCUUUCACUUGGGCAGAGCAAUAUGGGAUAAAGGUAAUUGUUGAUUUGCAUGCAGCUCAAGGUUCACAAAAUGGGAAUGAACACAGUGGAGCAAGGGAUGGCUUUCAGGAAUGGGGAGAUUCCUACAUACAAGAUACAGUAGCUGUAAU